UGAUUUGGACUCCCUUCUACCGCUGC
rnacentral:piRNA from 1 species